rnacentral:rRNA from 1 species
GCUGGCGGCAGGCCUAACACAUGCAAGUCGAGCGGCAGCACGGGUACUUGUACCUGGUGGCGAGCGGCGGACGGGUGAGUAAUGCCUAGGAAUCUGCCUGGUAGUGGGGGAUAACGCUCGGAAACGGACGCUAAUACCGCAUACGUCCUACGGGAGAAAGCAGGGGACCUUCGGGCCUUGCGCUAUCAGAUGAGCCUAGGUCGGAUUAGCUAGUUGGUGAGGUAAUGGCUCACCAAGGCGACGAUCCGUAACUGGUCUGAGAGGAUGAUCAGUCACACUGGAACUGAGACACGGUCCAGACUCCUACGGGAGGCAGCAGUGGGGAAUAUUGGACAAUGGGCGAAAGCCUGAUCCAGCCAUGCCGCGUGUGUGAAGAAGGUCUUCGGAUUGUAAAGCACUUUAAGUUGGGAGGAAGGGCAUUAACCUAAUACGUUGGUGUCUUGACGUUACCGACAGAAUAAGCACCGGCUAACUCUGUGCCAGCAGCCGCGGUAAUACAGAGGGUGCAAGCGUUA